CCAGAAACAUUAACAGAAUCUAACUGCCACGAAUACGACGUCGCACUAGGGCUACAAAGCCUCAUUAGGCAAAGAAAGACCUUGAUAAACAAAUCACACACACUCAAUUUUGUUCAAGCCCUCAGCUCUUCUUCAAAAUUUCGAUCCAAGAACAAGGGAAAACAUCUCUGAUGGCAGGGAGGCACCGCAUUCCGCGUGAAGCCAUGAUUGACCGGCGUGGCUACCCUCUUGAAGGACCUUAUGGUAGAGCCCCUCCUGUGCCCCGGCAGCUGCCCCAUCCUGCAUUGUUGGAGGAAGAACUUGAAAUGCAGCAUGCUGAGAUUCGGAGGCUCUUAGCUGAUAACCGGAGGCUGGUGGAGGACCGAAUGGCAUUGCAGCAUGAUCUUGGCGCUGCCAAGGAGGAAAUUCAUCGCAUGAAUGUUGCCUUUUCUGAUAUUCGCGCCGAGGAAGAACUGCAGUCGAGGGAGCUCUUUGAGAAAGCAAGAAAAUUGGAAGCUGAUCUUCGGGGAGCUGAGCCGUUUAAAAAUGAGGCUAAACAACUACGCGGUGAAAUUCAGAAGCUGAAUGGUGUUAGGAAGGAACUUUCCACACAAGUGCAGACUCUCACACAGGACCUCGUAAAGUUGCAAUCUGAUAAUCAACAGAUUCCUUUGCUAAAGUCUGAGAUUGAUGGUCUGCACCAGGAGCUUAUGCAUGCUAGAAGUGCAAUUGAUUAUGAAAAGAAGGCAAAUAUUGAGCUUAUGGAACAGAGACAGGCAAUGGAGAAUAACCUAGUUUCUAUGGCUCGUGAAGUUGAGAAACUUCGUGCAGAACUUGCUAGAGUUGAUGGUAGACCGUGGAGUGCAGGUGGACAAUACGGGAUGAGUUUCAGCAGCCCAGAUGGAAGCUUUCCUGCUCCAUAUGGAGAUGGAUAUGGGAUGCAUAUGGGUAUGCCUGAUAAAGGACCGAUGUAUGGGCAAGGCCCAGGCCCAGGCCCAACUUUGUGGGGAGGUUCGGAAAAGCUGCGCAUGCCUCGUCGUUGAAAUGCGGAAGAGUUUAUUUGAAUGACACAGUUACAUGUUACUUUUGAUUGCUCGUCGUCUGGAGAUUAUGGCCAAGAAUUUAUAGGUUCAUCUAUGAGCACACUCCUGAUCAGUAGCCUUUAUAUUUAUCUUGAUACAUUGUUAGUCAUCAUAAACUGAUGAAUAUAGAUGGAAGGCCUGAUUUUUCAAGGAUGUCUUGUGCAAUCUACCGAAAGGAAUACAUGCCUGAUUUGUUUUGCUAUUCCAAACAAGAAUACGUAACUUUUACAAGAAGUUUAUUCAACUUGAUUUGUCUUGGUGAUUGAUAAAAGACGACAUCUUACCCAGUUGUUGGAAGUAGUGAUUGUGGCGGAGUCCAUGAAACAUAUUAAGUAACUGGACGUGUAAGUAGCUACUUGAAUUGGGACUUCUGGACCUCACUUUUAGCAAGCCAAAUGAGCUAGUCAAGGAUCCACCCUGCAGCUUGUCAUUUCCUCUAGUUAGUGUUUGUUGCCAUUUCCUUUGCUUUAGUCGAGCUCCACAUGCAAGGUAAUUGUUACAAUGGCAAGCUUCUUUAGAUGAAAAAUUUGCAUUCGACUGACUAGAUUCAUUGAUGUAGCCAAAGUACAGGAAUAUUAUCUCUAGUUGUAGGCUGUGAAUAUGGAACGCGCCUUUCUUUAACAUUCACUUGUUAAAUAGGAGAGAGAUUGCAUCGGUUGUUUAUUUGGUGCAUCUCACAACCAGAGUAAAAUGUUAAAGUUGAAGGGCUUGUAUAGCAGAAUCAGUGAUUACAAAAGAACUGUUGUCACGGAGGGAUUUAUUGGUGCCACAUUAUUGAGGUACAGAGGUACUCUUGUAUUUUGCUAUACAAAAAGAAAAAAUGAUAGCAUGAGUGGCUUUUCACACAUGAACUCAUCACAUAUAA